CAGUAGCCGCGGGAAUACGUAGGUGGCGAGCGUUGUCCGGAAUUAUUGGGCGUAAAGGGCUCGCAGGCGGUUUCUUAAGUCUGAUGUGAAAGCCCUCGGCUCAACCGAGGAGGGUCAUCGGAAACUGGGAAACUUGAGUGCAGAAGAGGAGAGUAGAAUUCCACGUGUAGCGGUGAAAUGCGUAGAGAUGUGGAGGAAUACCAGUGGCGAAGGCGACUCUCUGGUCUGUAACUGACGCUGAGGUACGAAAGCGUGGGGAGCGAACAGGAUUAGAUACCCCGGUAGUCCCUGUCUCUUAUAC
rnacentral:rRNA from 1 species